rnacentral:rRNA from 1 species
CCUACGGGAGGCAGCAGUGGGGAAUAUUGGACAAUGGGCGCAAGCCUGAUCCAGCCAUGCCGCGUGGGUGAAGAAGGCCUUCGGGUUGUAAAGCCCUUUUGUCCGGAAAGAAAAGCUUCGGGUUAAUACCCCGGGGUCAUGACGGUACCGGAAGAAUAAGCACCGGCUAACUUCGUGCCAGCAGCCGCGGUAAUACGAAGGGUGCAAGCGUUACUCGGAAUUACUGGGCGUAAAGCGUGCGUAGGUGGUUCGUUAAGUCUGAUGUGAAAGCCCUGGGCUCAACCUGGGAAUUGCAUUGGAUACUGGCGAGCUAGAGUGCGGUAGAGGAUAGUGGAAUUCCCGGUGUAGCAGCGAAAUGCGUAGAGAUCGGGAGGAACAUCUGUGGCGAAGGCGACUAUCUGGGCCAGCACUGACACUGAGGCACGAAAGCGUGGGGAGCAAACAGGAUUAGAUACCCUGGUAGUCCACGCCCUAAACGAUGCGACUGAUGUUGGGUGCAACGUAGGCGACUCAGUAUCGAGACGUACGUACGUUACGUUACGUCCGCCGUCGGGUAGGUACGGUCGCGACGACGAGAACGUACGAAGGAAGUUAGACGGCGUGAGACGUAGCCGACGGACGACGACGAGGGAGGAGG